AUUGAACGCUGGCGGCAGGCCUAACACAUGCAAGUCGAACGAGUGGCGGACGGGUGAGUAAUGUCUGGGAAACUGCCCGAUGGAGGGGGAUAACUCCGGGAAACGGUAGCUAAUACCGCAUACCAUCGGAUGUGCCCAGGUGGGCUUAGCUAGUAGGUGGGGUAACGGCUCACCUAGGCGACGAUCCCUAGCUGGGCGGAGAGGAUGACCAGCCACACUGGAACUGAGACACGGCCCAGACUCCUCCGGGAGGCAGCAGUGGGGAAUAUUGCACAAUGGGCGCAAGCCUGAUGCAGCCAUGCCGCGUGGAGGAAGAAGGCCUUCGGGUUGUAAAGUACUUUCAGUGGGGAGGCGUUAUCUGCAGAAGAAGCACCGGCUAACUCCGUGCCAGCAGCCGCGGUAAUAC
rnacentral:rRNA from 1 species